AGAGUUUGAUUAUGGCUCAGGAUGAACGCUGGCGGCGUGCUUAACACAUGCAAGUCGAACGGAGUAUAUUUAAAAGCUUGCUUUGUUUAUACUUAGUGGCGGACGGGUGAGUAACGCGUGGGUAACCUGCCUUAUACCGGGGGACAACAGUUGGAAACGACUGCUAAUACCGCAUAAGCGCACAGUCUCGCAUGAGACAGUGUGAAAAACUCCGGUGGUAUAAGAUGGACCCGCGUCUGAUUAGCCAGUUGGCGGUGUAACGGACCACCAAAGCGACGAUCAGUAGCCGGCCUGAGAGGGUGAACGGCCACAUUGGGACUGAGACACGGCCCAAACUCCUACGGGAGGCAGCAGUGGGGAAUAUUGCACAAUGGAGGAAACUCUGAUGCCAGCGACGCCGCGUGAGUGAAGAAGUAUUUCGGUAUGUAAAGCUCUAUCAGCAGGAAAGAAAAUGACGGUACCUGACUAAGAAGCCCCGGCUAACUACGUGCCAGCCGCCGC
rnacentral:rRNA from 1 species